UGCUGCCAUCCUCUCAGACAUCACUGGACAGGACAUCACCGUGCUGAGUUGUGGGUCUCAUCUGCUGUUCACGCAGGUUCACGGGCUCACC